AGAAGGGAAUGGGGGGGAAUAAAGGGGACUUGGCUCAACAGCGGUGGCUUUCUGAUUUUGUUUUACUUGUAAAUAAAGUCUCGACUCCCAACAGCCGAGCCAGACCGGGCGACAGAGAUGGAGGCGAACUCAAAAGGGAUCCGGCUGCCCUAUUGCAGAUUUGUUGGCGGGCUUUAGCUCCAGCUUGUUGUCAGGCUGCUUGCUGAUGUUCCUCUCCUCCUCCUCCUCCUCCUCCUCCUCUUCCUUCUCCUCUCCCCCGGGGGGCUUUCAAGCACCUGAGGGAAGGGCAGCGGCUGAGAAAGGAGGCGGUGGGGGCGGCGGUGGUGGUGGUUGUGUCAGGGCUGGCUCUCGCUCCUCGCUCUCCUUGGCCAAGGAUGUCGGCUGGCCGUUCCGACGCCGAGGGAAGAAGAGGCAGGACUCGGCAAAAGGACCAGCGAAGGGAGAGUGAGGAGGACGCGCUGGAUAUUAUUUUAGAGCACAGAAGUUGUAGAUGAUAUCUGCUGAUGUUUGCCACUACAUAUGAGGAACUGAAAAUUAGACCUGCUGUCCAAGAGUUUCAGUGCUUUCAGAUGAACACAAGCCUGCUAUCUUUAACACUGCAUGGAUUACAACAAAUACAGUAUUGCACUAAUCUGUAUAUUUUGAGAAAAUAAAUUGAU